UGGACCAGGCUCUGCAUAUAUGCAAAAUAAAGAUACCGGAAUUUUUGUAACGGAGGUGGGUUUGCCAAUGAAGUACAGACUUAUAAAAUAUAGUUUGGCCAUGAGGAUGGCAUCAGAGAGGAGGGGUAUUGGGAUCCUUUCAGUCAGUAAAAGGCUCCAAAUGCUGCAGAUCUGGAUUAACCAACAGAUUAAAAACUGGGUUCCCCUCAUCAACAAUUAACUCAAACAUGAGGAGAUAAUUAUCCCAAAUGAAGGUGUGAAAAACCUAUGUGAUGGGAGUCAUAGAAGGGUAAAUAAAAGGUGCAGAAAAGGCUCAGCCUCCCUUCCUGAUGAAAAGGCUCAAGGAAUAAUUUACCUGGAUUUUCAAGAGGACAAACCUUGCAUUCUGUGACUUGUCGUGGCUGAUGCAGCCAGCAAUAGCAGGAACAGCUUGGUUCUGAGAGCGCUGGGGCUCCCCUCGUCGUGCUGGAGAAGGGGUCCUGAAAUAAACCUUGGAUGGGGAUAGCCUUUGAUUUGACCUCUUCUGCAUUUAUCUGGCUGUGUGUGUUCGACUCCCAUCGCUCCCCUCAGCCUGUGAAGCUCAGACACCACCAGCACAGGAACGCAGUAUUCUCCUUUCUUCCUGUUUGGCCUCCUCUGCCCUGGAUGCAACGGGAGUAAACACAGUGCAAGGAUUUGUGUUCCAACAAAGAAGAACAAUUGCAGCAGUGUUCAAAUUCACAAGCCUAGAAGCCGUGGGAUCCCAGGAAUAGGCUUCUCCCUCUAGUGGCAGCAGAAAGCGAGAUGCAGAACUCUUGGACCAGAUUCCAACCCAUCUGUAAAAGUCCCCAGCUUUCUGACACUGUUCCUAUUGAACAACAUAAUCCAGGGAGCCUACAAAUUGUUAAUGGUUCACCUUUUCAGUGAAUCCUGAAGAUUUUGGAGAAACUUUUUCUUCACAAAGGCUUCCCGAAGAAAGAAGGGGAUGGGCUGGAGCAGCUGUGGCUGGAGACACUGGCUGGAACCAGGAGAUGGCUGAGCAUUUGUGCCAUCUCGUGCUGCUUCUGAAAUGUUUUGGUCUGCUCGAGUCCUCGUGAUGCUCCUGUGGCACCGAUGAAUCUCUAUCCUCACAUCAGAAGGCAAGGGCAGGCCGAGCUAAACAGCUGGCUGGAUUUGCAUGAAAAUGGACUGCCCUUUUUCAUUUGUUUGUUCUUGGGAAAUUACAGUAGAACCAAUGCAUUAACUCUGAGAAGGGGCAGCAGAAGGAAAGCCUGGAGCUGCUGCUCGCCCUGGAGCUGGAACAUCCUCUGAGCAGCAGCAAAACAAGAGAAAGCAAAACCACCCCUCUAAGAUGGCUGCAGACAGAAGCUUUCCUGCAGUUGUCCUUGACUCAGCCAAGGCCAGGUACGAGGGAAGAGCUCCACGGCAUGAAAGAAGUUGCCACAGGGACUUUUGGGUGACCUCCCCAAAUCCCUGUAUUUCCCUGAGGUUUGGCAAAUCUCCCAAUAUCUUUCACCAAAAUCAAGCUCUUAAUCUCAAGACACCUCUCCUACGUAAGGCUGCCUCCUGAGCUCCAUCCACAGGGCCCGUGUUUCAACACCCAGGAUUCAUUAAUAUUUCCUGCAGAGUGCUCAGGAUCCUCAGCUUCACAGAUAUCAAUAAGUCUGAUGGAUUUCUUGCUGCAUUCUCAUUCUUCUGCCCUGGUGUCUCUUAUGGGAUCAUCAUUUCUGCAUGCUUGGAUUGUUUUAUGGGAUCAGUGAAAGGCAA